GAAUUGUUCAACUGUUUUCAUAGACUGUGGGUGUUUCAAUGGGGCAGCGGAGAGUGCUCCAAAAAAGGUAUAAGCUAACAAAGAGAUGCUAUAGCGGAAUGUCAACUCAAUGUGCAAAAUGUUCAGAAGGGACAUACCAAGACAAAAUGAACUAUUUCCCAAACUGCUUCAGAUGCCAGGAAUGUACUAAGAGAAGUCAUGCAGUGAUGAUUUCGCCGUGUACGUACCAAAGUAACACUGUUUGUGGAUGUCAAUCAGGAUACCGCAAAAAAAUGUUUGACAGUAUUUCAUGGGCUUGUGAGCCCUUUAAAAAGAGUGAUUACGUAUAACUUAAAACAAGAGGAGAGAAAUAUCAUCCAGGCUUCGUGAGACGGAAGUAAACAUGUCUAUCUCCAUCCAUGGUUCGGGCCUUAAUAAAAAAAAAGUUUGGGC
rnacentral:lncRNA from 8 species